rnacentral:rRNA from 1 species
GCAAGUCGAGCGGACCGACGGGAGCUUGCUCCCUUAGGUCAGCGGCGGACGGGUGAGUAACACGUGGGUAACCUGCCUGUAAGACUGGGAUAACUCCGGGAAACCGGGGCUAAUACCGGAUGCUUGAUUGAACCGCAUGGUUCAAUCAUAAAAGGUGGCUUUUAGCUACCACUUACAGAUGGACCCGCGGCGCAUUAGCUAGUUGGUGAGGUAACGGCUCACCAAGGCGACGAUGCGUAGCCGACCUGAGAGGGUGAUCGGCCACACUGGGACUGAGACACGGCCCAGACUCCUACGGGAGGCAGCAGUAGGGAAUCUUCCGCAAUGGACGAAAGUCUGACGGAGCAACGCCGCGUGAGUGAUGAAGGUUUUCGGAUCGUAAAACUCUGUUGUUAGGGAAGAACAAGUACCGUUCGAAUAGGGCGGCACCUUGACGGUACCUAACCAGAAAGCCACGGCUAACUACGUGCCAGCAGCCGCGGUAAUACGUAGGUGGCAAGCGUUGUCCGGAAUUAUUGGGCGUAAAGCGCGCGCAGGCGGUUUCUUAAGUCUGAUGUGAAAGCCCCCGGCUCAACCGGGGAGGGUCAUUGGAAACUGGGGAACUUGAGUGCAGAAGAGGAGAGUGGAAUUCCACGUGUAGCGGUGAAAUGCGUAGAGAUGUGGAGGAACACCAGUGGCGAAGGCGACUCUCUGGUCUGUAACUGACGCUGAGGCGCGAAAGCGUGGGGAGCGAACAGGAUUAGAUACCCUGGUAGUCCACGCCGUAAACGAUGAGUGCUAAGUGUUAGAGGGUUUCCGCCCUUUAGUGCUGCAGCAAACGCAUUAAGCACUCCGCCUGGGGAGUACGGUCGCAAGACUGAAACUCAAAGGAAUUGACGGGGGCCCGCACAAGCGGUGGAGCAUGUGGUUUAAUUCGAAGCAACGCGAAGAACCUUACCAGGUCUUGACAUCCUCUGACAACCCUAGAGAUAGGGCUUCCCCUUCGGGGGCAGAGUGACAGGUGGUGCAUGGUUGUCGUCAGCUCGUGUCGUGAGAUGUUGGGUUAAGUCCCGCAACGAGCGCAACCCUUGAUCUUAGUUGCCAGCAUUCAGUUGGGCACUCUAAGGUGACUGCCGGUGACAAACCCGAAGAAAGGGGGGGAUGACGUCAAAUCAUCAUGGCCCCU